AAAUUGAAGAGUUUGAUCAUGGCUCAGAUUGAACGCUGGCGGCAGGCCUAACACAUGCAAGUCGAACGGUAACAGGAAGCAGCUUGCUGCUUCGCUGACGAGUGGCGGACGGGUGAGUAAUGUCUGGGAAACUGCCUGAUGGAGGGGGAUAACUACUGGAAACGGUAGCUAAUACCGCAUAAUGUCGCAAGACCAAAGAGGGGGACCUUCGGGCCUCUUGCCAUCGGAUGUGCCCAGAUGGGAUUAGCUUGUUGGUGGGGUAACGGCUCACCAAGGCGACGAUCCCUAGCUGGUCUGAGAGGAUGACCAGCCACACUGGAACUGAGACACGGUCCAGACUCCUACGGGAGGCAGCAGUGGGGAAUAUUGCACAAUGGGCGCAAGCCUGAUGCAGCCAUGCCGCGUGUAUGAAGAAGGCCUUCGGGUUGUAAAGUACUUUCAGCGGGGAGGAAGGGAGUAAAGUUAAUACCUUUGCUCAUUGACGUUACCCGCAGAAGAAGCACCGGCUAACUCCGUGCCAGCAGCCGCGGUAAUACGGAGGGUGCAAGCGUUAAUCGGAAUUACUGGGCGUAAAGCGCACGCAGGCGGUUUGUUAAGUCAGAUGUGAAAUCCCCGGGCUCAACCUGGGAACUGCAUCUGAUACUGGCAAGCUUGAGUCUCGUAGAGGGGGGUAGAAUUCCAGGUGUAGCGGUGAAAUGCGUAGAGAUCUGGAGGAAUACCGGUGGCGAAGGCGGCCCCCUGGACGAAGACUGACGCUCAGGUGCGAAAGCGUGGGGAGCAAACAGGAUUAGAUACCCUGGUAGUCCACGCCGUAAACGAUGUCGACUUGGAGGUUGUGCCCUUGAGGCGUGGCUUCCGGAGCUAACGCGUUAAGUCGACCGUCUGGGGAGUACGGCCGCAAGGUUAAAACUCAAAUGAAUUGACGGGGGCCCGCACAAGCGGUGGAGCAUGUGGUUUAAUUCGAUGCAACGCGAAGAACCUUACCUGGUCUUGACAUCCACGGAAGUUUUCAGAGAUGAGAAUGUGCCUUCGGGAACCGUGAGACAGGUGCUGCAUGGCUGUCGUCAGCUCGUGUUGUGAAAUGUUGGGUUAAGUCCCGCAACGAGCGCAACCCUUAUCCUUUGUUGCCAGCGGUCCGGCCGGGAACUCAAAGGAGACUGCCAGUGAUAAACUGGAGGAAGGUGGGGAUGACGUCAAGUCAUCAUGGCCCUUACGACCAGGGCUACACACGUGCUACAAUGGCGCAUACAAAGAGAAGCGACCUCGCGAGAGCAAGCGGACCUCAUAAAGUGCGUCGUAGUCCGGAUUGGAGUCUGCAACUCGACUCCAUGAAGUCGGAAUCGCUAGUAAUCGUGGAUCAGAAUGCCACGGUGAAUACGUUCCCGGGCCUUGUACACACCGCCCGUCACACCAUGGGAGUGGGUUGCAAAAGAAGUAGGUAGCUUAACCUUCGGGAGGGCGCUUACCACUUUGUGAUUCAUGACUGGGGUGAAGUCGUAACAAGGUAACCGUAGGGGAACCUGCGGUUGGAUCACCUCCUUA
rnacentral:rRNA from 1 species